AUUUAUUUCAAGCAAUGAAAUUAAUUGUAUUUUAUGCAAUGCCAUCAAGGGGAAUAUUAACUUAAGACAGAGCUUUACUUUUUCAUCAGAUUCUGCCACCGGUACCCAAGUUUGAGAUAAACAUUACAUGUUCAUUGAAAAGGUGGUGUCGGUAUCAAAAGGCUAUCUAAAACAUUGAUUUGCAAAGUUAAAAAAUGUAACCACUCACUGUGUUGUUGAACAGAGUGUAGUUUAAAAAUUAAUGUAUAGGUUAUUGAGGAGAAUUAAAACAAUACACUCUGGUUAUCAUUAACCUCACAUCACUACCAGGUCCUGAUCAACAUUUACAUACUACGUAAUUAGAAGGCAAUAUGCGUCUAUUUGUUUAGCUUUAUCACUUGUACCAGUGCACGCUACAGGCCGAUUUCCACCUUCAAGGUAGAAUGAUUGCAAGGGACAACAAAAACGUAAGUGGUGCCGGGGAAACUACCCAUUUUACGUAGUUCAAACACCCACGGACAUAUGAUUUCCCUGUUCAAACAAAACAACAAUUAGUGGAUUAAGGGACCAAAAGGUCAGCUCAUUGGAAAAUACACACAUACAUUAUACAAAUUCCCCCAGCGUCUCUUUUCCUUGAGAAAAACGGUUGCCAUGGGAACUGCAGAAACCCUUGGACCAGCCUGCUGCUCCUUGUAAACAAAGCACGUGCGUCCGGCUCUGAUUUGCUGCGAAUCUUUGCAGUGCCACCAAAUACAUGUUGUGUAAGAGUUAACAACUUUGGUCGUACUCCUAUAAUAAACAUUGAGAAAAGGUAUUGGGACGGCCUAGCAGCAACCUCAAUUUCCAGUCACAUCACUGACGAUCAAUACUAAGAGGACAAUGCCUGUUUUGCUACUGCAAAAAAAAAAUCAACACAGUACAUGAGUCAAAAACAGACCAGAGUGUCCUCGAUAACAGCGAACAGGACGGACAAAAUGAAGGACAAAACAGAAAAUAUCAGCAGUAAAUGACUGAUUCUGUAACCACAUGUCAGCGGGUUCACAUACUGGAAAGCAGGCACCUAGAACAUUUUGGCAACUUUACGACCCCCUUCUGUGUGAAUUAGGGGAAAUCCGGAUGUGAAAGGUUAUUUGGACAAGCACUAUCACCCAAAAAAGAUUGGGAGCCUAGUUUUAAGUUGACACGGUGAAUUAUUUUUUUUAUAUUUCUCUCUUGUAUAAGUCACUUGUGCCCUUAAUUGGUUAACUACGUUAACUACAAAGUGGGUUUUUAAACCAAUUUUGCUUCUCAAUUUACACAUGAAAACCGGGUUUGGUCUUAAAAUAAGAAGGCGGUAUUUGAAGCACAUGUUUUGCUUGUCUUGGGCUGGACUGCUGUAACACAUCGAUUUCCCUACGGGAUUAAUAAAGUAUUAUCUAUUUAAAUACUGUAAUAUAGGGAACAAGGAAACAGGGCCCCCUGGCGCCCAUUUACCGCAUCUUACUCUAUGUCACCUUAUUCAAAAAUAGAAAUUUCAAUCCCAGGACCCCCUGCGAGCAGGAGUAUUUUAUAUCUUCCACAAAAAGCUGAGGUGAGU